GCAUGGUAGAAUGGUAGGAAAAAUAAUAGAGAGUAAAAGGAAAACAGAAAAAAGAAUCCCAAAUCUAAAAAGAAAGAUGGCAGUUUUUUGAGAUAUAAUCAAAUAGAUUGUGAACUUGUUUCUUUUCAAUCCCACUGCCACUAAAAGAGUAGUAGUUUGUAGUAGGUGUAGAAACAAGAAUGAAAAGUUAAACAAAUGAAGAUAUGAUACAAAGAGAAAGAAGAUAGUAAGAAAGCCAUCAGAACUUUGACGAGUUGAAGGAUUGGCUUAAGGAAAAAGAUGGGGAGCGAAGAGAUUAGAGUAUUUUUUAGGGUUUGUGAGCUUGUGGGUGGGUGACAAAGAAGGGAAUAAAGAGAAAUAGAGAGAAGGAAAGAGAGUGUAAGAAGUGUACAUCUUAGGUAUUUUUAAAAUAUUUUUAAUUAUUUAUUUUAUUCAAUAUGUAAAUAUUAUAUAUUAUUUCUUAAUUAUGUUAAGAAUUUUCCAAACUAAAUUGGGA
rnacentral:lncRNA from 1 species